UCCGUAGGUGAACCUGCGGAGGGAUCAUUACCGAGUUUACAACUCCCAAACCCAAUGUGAACGUUACCAAACUGUUGCCUCGGCGGGAUCUCUGCCCCGGGUGCGUCGCAGCCCCGGACCAAGGCGCCCGCCGGAGGACCAACCUAAAACUCUUAUUGUAUACCCCCUCGCGGGUUUUUUUAUAAUCUGAGCCUUCUCGGCGCCUCUCGUAGGCGUUUCGAAAAUGAAUCAAAACUUUCAACAACGGAUCUCUUGGUUCUGGCAUCGAUGAAGAACGCAGCGAAAUGCGAUAAGUAAUGUGAAUUGCAGAAUUCAGUGAAUCAUCGAAUCUUUGAACGCACAUUGCGCCCGCCAGUAUUCUGGCGGGCAUGCCUGUCCGAGCGUCAUUUCAACCCUCGAACCCCUCCGGGGGGUCGGCGUUGGGGAUCGGCCCUCCCUUAGCGGGGUGGCCGUCUCCGAAAUACAGUGGCGGUCUCGCCGCAGCCUCUCCUGCGCAGUAGUUUGCACACUCGCAUCGGGAGCGCGGCGCGUCCACAGCCGUUAAACACCCAACUUCUGAAAUGUUGACCUCGGAUCAGGUAGGAAUACCCGCUGAACUUAAGCAUAUCAAUAAGCGGAGGA
rnacentral:rRNA from 1 species